UUUUUGGGUGAACUAACCCUUUAAGGAUUUUCUAAUAAUACAAAGAGAAGCCAAUGGCUUUUUAAAAUAAAAAGUUUGUGUAGAAAGCAUUAUGUCCUCCUGUUUGAGCUCAUUAUUUAAUUUCUCCAAAGGAAGAAAGGCUGACAGCUGAGAGUUCCCCCCCAAAAUAAAAAGAUGCUGUUGACGUGUCCUCUCUGCCCGGCCCAGGUUCUUUACCUGCGGUAUCACCUCCGGUCGCAGCACUGUAUCAUAAAAGGGGAGGAGAGGACGAUUCUGCUGCGACUGAUGAGGGGUAAAGCUCUGGAACUUGGGCUGCCCAGAGUGCGGGGUGGUCUACGAAUCCAGAGCUGACAAAGAUUUUGAAAUGGAGACAGCUCCUAGCUUCCUGUAGCUACUAAUGUCAAGUGAGCCCCAAGAGGAAGUGCAAGCACUUGAUGAUUUGUUCAAUCAAAUUGCCAAGUAUGAAGUUCAAGUUUCUUCGGGUCCACAAGGGGAAACAGACCUGUCAACAAUCGACUUCAGUCAAUUGCUAAACCUGUAAAUAUGUUCAUUAAUUACUGUAUAUAGUUGAAAUGUUUAAUGUUGUAGUUUUAUAUUUAUUCCACAUUUUUUAGAUUGUUAUUAUUGUAUUUUAAAAUAUAUUCUGCUGUCUUCUGUUCAUUCACUUUAUUUUUACUGUACUUUCAUGUGUUCUG